GGCUGUUUAGUCUAGUGGUAUGAUUCUCGCUUAGGGUGCGAGAGUUCCCGGGUUGAAAUCCCGGGCCAGCUC
rfam:Eimeria tenella Houghton genomic scaffold, Eth_scaff301